CUCCUAAUUAUUUCAGAAUGGAGCAAAGCACAGAAGCUGUACUGUAAAUUACACUCCAAAACUCUUUUAGGCUGUCAUACAAAAGAAAAUGAAUAGAAAGGCAACUUUGAUUACUUUUGGUAUGCGUGAAUAUGGAAAGGCGAGAGACGUACCCAAGGAAUUCACUCAAAUUAGAUUGGAUUUCAAGGGUCACUCACUAUUCAGCAGCGUUCAGUUCAGUGUCACGUGGAUGGGGCAGGGGAUGCUGCUUCUGCUGCAGCACAUCAGCUGUUGCCAUCAAGCUGAAGAACUAGAAGUGAGCACGUGAAUCGCAGAUGCUAACAAAUUAUUAGUAAAUUCCAUCUACUUCUGAAGAAAAGCACCCAAAAAGCACAGCCAGUCCAUCACAAAACCAUACAUCUCGGAGGACACGGCAUUACUUACUUUAAUUUCUGUUUGUUUCUGCUUUGGCCACCAGCAGGUGUCCAGAAGCACAGCUGAAGGCAUUUCCACGGGCUGCAACUCGCUCCUGACUUCAACACCUGCCACUUAAGCAGCACACCUCUGCUAGCGUGCCCCAAGACACAACCAGCAGAUUUCAGCCCUUCCACGUCAGCUGACGACUUCUGGUUUCCAGAAAAAACUUCUCCUGCCUCUGCCACACACGCAAGGAAAUUUGCUGAGGAGUCGUGAGCAGAAAGGAUCACUGGAAAGAUAAAAAAAAAAAGCUACACACAAGCAAGAUGAAGUCCCUGAAGUCAGAGCCUCCGCUCACAGCCCAACUUCCACAUCUUCGUUACAUCUUUGAUUAACAUUUUGUGGUGAGCAAGGCCCAGGACUGCCCUCCAAACGAGACACACGCAGCACAGUCGGAGCAAGCAACAGCUUUCUGGACCUCGUGAGCUUUGGAGUCCGAACACCAAUUUUUCUUUGAACAGGCAGCUGAUGGGUGCAGUUCUAAAACCGAGGAAACAAAUCCAGUAGAACUGAGUAGGCUUUUAAAAAGAAGCCUGCUUUGUUUUUAACCUGGUUUAACAACUUCCAGCAUUGGUGCCAACCCCAUAAAACACCCUGUGUCUCCCAGAAACUUUGUUAUUUAAGGCUUGUUUCAGCAUGCUCCAAGGCCAUCCAGGUUCCCCAGGCCUCCCCCUCCCCUUGCCCAGCUCCCCCAGCCCCUGCAGCCUCCUCUGCCCCCCUCACCCCGCAGCUCUCCCCAUGAGGACAGAGACAUCCCUUCCCCAGGGGCUCUCCUCUCCAUUUACUCCCCUGCAGAAAUACCACCCCCAACAACCAGCUCUAUCCCCCCACACCACCAAACAAGGCCGUAAAACAAAUGCUGUCCAUCACAGCGGGCUUCAAACAGCUGAACUGCUACUGAAAUUCGCAGGAAUUGUAACGGUGCUGGAUGGACAGGGAUUUGAGUUUAAGAAAGGGAAUUCUGUGAUGAUCAAAAGCAAGUUAUUUUUACAUAUAUUUUUAUCUUUGCUUGUUCUCUACGCUUUAGACCCCAUUGGUCUUUGCUGCAGGCUACGUUUUUCUCUUUAAUUAACCAAGCUGACCUGGAAUGAGUUAGAGUGAUAUUUCGUUUCCUUCCAGCCUGCUUUCAUUUUGCUAAAAUGCAAUAUAUAUAUACACACAUGUAAGUAGCACUGGGUACUAGCCCACAAGUUCACAUCAAAAAUAAGGUAGGCAAGACAGGAUCAUAAAUCAGACAAGGCUUUGAGGCAAGUUUACCUAGACCUUUCCCUUAUUGCAUGCAACCACGAAAAAAUAAAAUAUCUUUCAAGUUGAAAGAGUCAGACUCCCAUAGAAACCAAGUUACACUAAUUAAUUUUUCUACAGCAUCAAAAGCACAAAACUCCAAAGACAAAACAAAAUGUAAAAGUUUUAAAACUUUCUCCUCCAGCCUACCAUAGUCCAGGUGAGUUCUUCUCCUCCUCCACAGGCUUGGCUUCAGCUCACUGCUCUCCACACUGCAACCGAGCCAAACCAGCUCUUCUCAGCUGCUGGGGAUUUAUUUCCUCUUUCCCUGAUUGCAAAUACCUGUCUCCCUCUGCUCUCUCCUUGAUGCGAUUUGCUCUCCUGCCCCAUACGUGGCCUCCCCCAGCCCUGCAGGGCUGACCUGUGAUGGAACAACCGCAUCCACCUGAGCACACCACGCCUCUACCCACACAGGCAAACAACCCCAUGGUGUGGUUUUCUGUUUUCACAGUGGUCAGAGAAACCUUGUGAAAAUCCAGGGGGGAAGUGCAAACAGAUUUUCUUUCUUGUAUCACCAUGGCUUGGUAACAACUAAGGGCUUCUUAGCUUCUGCGCUCUGGCAGGAUCUGUCAGUAGGCCAUCUUGUAGGCUACAAGGAGAAACAUUCACCACAAGAUUACUGCCGUCAAACCUUUACCACACUAUGUGCUGAAACUCAGCUUUCUACCAAUGGAGGUCUCUUCGUGCCCUGGAACCUACCAACUGGGGUGCCUUCCAGUGCUCAGAUGCCUCCUGCUAGGCCUCAUGCCAUGAUGGGGACUUCUUGACCCAGCUAUCUCCUUAACAGGCCACAUCAUCACAGAGUCACCUAGGUUGGAAGAGACCUCCAAGAUCACCUACCCCAACCUCUGACCUAACACUAACCAGUCCUCCACAAACCCUAUCACCAUGUCAUAUUUUAGAAGAGGUGCUGCUGCCAGGACUGUACAGAACAUUUUAUUUCCGUUAGGUAUGAAAAUAAGAGGCAGCUCACUGCUAGAAGUGUUGAAUUCUCAGCGCUUGGGGGCAGCUGGCCUAUUUUCUGCUGGUCUAGCUCACAAACAUUCUUCUGAAUGUCUGGUUCCCCGAGAAGGGUGAUUUUGCAAGCCUCUCAGCAACUGCAGAGUGCCUCUGGGGCACCUGUUGGUGAGGCUGCAAGGCAGGUGGCGAUGGCCAGCAGAAGGACAAGGGGCUGUCAUCUACACCUCUGACAAACCCCAAGUGCUGGCUGCUGCACCAAGCCUGCUGAAGCUGGCGAGGGAGCCUCACCCAGCACCCAGAGGCUGAAGUGCAGAGACAACAGCAACUCUUUGGACAGCCAGCAGGGUGCUCAAGUCAGGAUGACAGUCACCGGGCACAUUAGGAGGGUGCCUGAUUAUCACUCAUUUAAAAAAUUGCAACAAUUUUAAAGGAUGGAUCCAGCCUCCAGAGGCCCCAUAUUUUGCAGUCUAAGGUUAUUUUGUGAAUUCUUACCUCAAGGGAGCAGAAUAAAUAGCUGCAAUGCCUACAAACCCCAGGGUCAGUCCUCAUUGCCAGCGCCUGGGAAUCUUCUGCGGUAGGAGCCUCACUAAGCAGAUAAAAUGCAGGUGCUGUAAACAGCUGGCCCAGGUUUGCUCGUCCUCUAUCAAAAUUCUCUUGUUCAAGCAAGUACCUGUAGACCAAAGCAACUUUACCAAGGCAGAGAAUUUAGGUAUUAAUAAGUAGCUGCAAGGGUAUUCACCAUGCCUCAUUUAGCUCGCAGAGAGCUCUUCUAUAAAACUUGGGCGAUUAAAAUAUGAUAUGAUAUAUGAUUUAUUCUCAUCGUGCAAGUCAUGAAAGUAGCACACAAAUGCCAGCUGAUACACUAUGGCUGGCACUGAAAUAAUCAAUUUUGCAGUGUAUUGCUUUUAUGAAGGCAACUUCCCAUAUUCCACAGAUAUAUUAAAACAGAAGGUCACUCAAAAUACCUGGUA